UACGGGAGGCAGCAGUGGGGAAUAUUGCACAAUGGGCGCAAGCCUGAUGCAGCCAUGCCGCGUGUAUGAAAAAGGCCUUCGGGUUGUAAAGUACUUUUCAGUCGUGAGGAAGGUGUUAAGGUUAAUAACCUUAGCAAUUGACGUUAGCGACAGAAGAAGCACCGGCUAACUCCGUGCCAGCAGCCGCGGUAAUACGGAGGGUGCGAGCGUUAAUCGGAAUUACUGGGCGUAAAGGGCACGCAGGCGGUUAAUUAAGUUGGAUGUGAAAUCCCCGGGCUUAACCUGGGAAUGGCAUUCAAGACUGGUUAGCUAGAGUCUUGUAGAGGGGGUAGAAUUCCAUGUGUAGCGGUGAAAUGCGUAGAGAUGUGGAGGAAUACCGGUGGCGAAGGCGGCCCCUGGACAAAGGACUGACGCUCAUGUGCGAAAGCGUGGGGAGCAAAC
rnacentral:rRNA from 1 species